GCCACGCCCGCCGCCACGCCCGCCCGGCGAAGGGUCGGGAAACUAAAGGGCGGGGCGACUGACGGCGCCUGUGCGGCUGUUUUGGCUCCUCCCCGGGCUGUCAGAAAGGGCCACGCCCUCUCAACCGUCCAAUCCGCUGUCUGCUGGGCCCGCUGCGUGACGUCAUCCCCCCCCCGUUCUCCUAGUGUGGCUGGCGUCUCCAGUCACCCCGGACGCGGCUUCUUCCUGUUCCUCCGCGGGGGCGCACCCCCUACCGUUUAUCUUGUGGUCACGAGGAUCGGUGGCGUUUGGCACUCUGAGGGUACUAAAGUUUGCGGUCGAGUAGGGAACCGUGAGGCUGGCUCGGGGUCACGGAAAAGGGCAGGAUGGUGAAGAGAUCCGGGGCCGCGAGAGUGGACUUUUGUUUUCGGGCUGGAAGGGAAUUUGGGAACGAGUUCAGCUUCUCUGUUUAGGCAUUUUUAAGUUGAGAUUCAGAAAGAGAGGGUCGUAAAGAGGCAGGUCUUCAACACUGAUCAACCACUCGGUUAUACUGAGUAGGUAGACUAGAAGUUAGUUCACUUCCUUUGCAGGUUUUUCGGUUUUCCUUCCCCAGUCCCCGCGGGAGUUUUCUCUUAAUUUGCACCUAUUUUUAAUACAACCAAAAGGAAUUAAUCAUACAACAACGUCGAGAGACCCUGCGGCAUAACCUGAAGAAAAACGAAAAUUUCGUGUACUUGUAGUGAAACGUGGGGUUCAACUAUUAGAACAACUGGUUAGCCUUCCUGUGUAACUUAAUCACCUGGAAAGUGAAACUAGGAUCUCUGCUUUAUAGAAGAUAAACCACCACUUCUAAAUAUCUGCAGACAAGGAGCAUAAGUAUAUUACUGCCCUAGAAGGUAAUUUCAAGAACAAUCCCAACAUAAAUAAAACACGAGAUUUUUUUUUUAAACACGAGAUAUUUUUAAGGAAGCAGAAAUUUUCAUUUCAUAGGCAAGCCCUGAGUGUCAAAGACAUUGAUUUAAUACUGGAAUGUGGUAUAAGGUAAUGUUAUGAGAUUAAUUUCAACAUGAAAUAAAAACAGCAUUUAGCAGGGCUACAGGCCAGCAGCCUUGGCCCCCAUCUUCAAAUCCAAAUAGGAACCUGGAAUUUGGGCUGUGGAUUUAGCUCAACGGCAUAAGCGCCUGCCUUGUCAGCAAAUGGUCCUGAGUUCAAUCCCUGCUACCGACAAAAAAAAAAAAGGAGAAAAUAAAAGAACCUGGGAUUCUACAAUGGUUGUCUGCAGCUCACUUCCACUGAACUGUCUUCAGAGCUACAGUUUUAAAUGUAGGCAAAAUAUUUGCAUAGAAGCUGUUUUUAAACCAGAGCUUGUUAAGGUUUGAAGAGCAUUUUUUAAAAGAUGAAGACUAGAUAAGAUAGGAAGCCGAUUAAGAAUGUGGAACAGACUCGUGGCCAAAUUUGGACCAAAAAAAAUGUAACCAUGCUGAAAUCUGGUUUUCUCCAGAAAGAAGAUGAGGUAAUGCUGCUUAGAACAGUUAUACUGGUAUUCUAUAAAGAGGAACCAGAAAACUUUACAGAAGCGGAAGUGCCCAGCCCAGCCCUGCCUGAUUUACCCCUCUUCCAGAACUCAGCUGAACGCCCACUGCCUUCCCUCCUGACUCUGCGGUUCUAAGAAAGGAAAUGGCAGCCCUGUGCUUCCUCCUCCAAAACUAAAGACAACCUUGCAAAACCAGAGUGUGGCCAGUGCCAGUGCCAGUGCAGGAGCUCUCCAGCUCCAGUUAGAUACUUUCAGCUAUUCUCAAGACACUCCUUAAAGAUGGUGGCUGAUAAAGACAGAACAGGGGAUUCAGGAGAACUCUCACUAUGCACAUAAUAAAAAUAUUUUCUCUCUAAUGAAACAAAUGUGGCUCAGCCCGCCCAUGAGAGCACAGUGAUUGCAUUGCUGCUUUGUUGGACUAUGGGUGAGGUUACUCUUCAGACUUCUUCUAAAGCUGUUUGUUUUGGGCCUUCUUCAUUUCUUUUUUUAAAGGCCACAACAUAAACUUAGUCUAAGACUCUUGUUUAUGCAAUGAAUCUCAACACCACAAUGCUGCUUAAGGUUGCUCAGUGAGACUCAAUAUACUGCACUACAGAAGGACUUACACCAGAAUGUCCUGGACAGAGAAGGUUCUGGUUGUCUGGGUUUUCUUUCAUAAAAGCUUUUCAGUAAAUUUCCUCCAACGCCCAGAACCCAUGCACACUCCAACGUUUUCAAGGUUUCUGGUCUUAUCAACUUCAUUUUCACUUUGUUUGCACUAUCCAUCUAUUGAAAACUAUUACACCGCCAAUAAAACAGCUUACCAAGGAAUGCUUGAUACCA